CACCCUGGCUCCUACAUGCUGUGUACAGGCUGUGCCGGGAACUGAGUAUGUGCACUGCUUCCUGCCCCAUGGCCAGGGGCAGGGAUGAGUAGCUGCUACUGUCCGGAGAGCUGAGGUUGACCAGAACUGACUGCAGUUUACUGCAUGAGUUUUUCUCUUGGACAUUGCAAGCUUUCAGUAGACGCCAGAGAUCCAGCACAGUUACAUCAGACAGCCUCUGCCACUGUAGUUGCCUGGGGCGGAGGAGGGGGAGGCGGCAGACACAUUUGUGGGGGGCUUCCUCCUCUACCAUCUUCCCAGAAUCCUCUCCCCUAGAGAUUAUAAUUUAUAUCUUUGAUUUAUCAUCCUGUUGUAAACUGGGUGCUUUUACCUUCUUGAAGGGCAACGCAACAGCCACAGGAUGCCUAACUCCGCUUACCCCUGUGCUCCCUUUGUGCCUUUGUGGUUUCAUAUUUUAAGUCUUACAUACGUUGAUUCCUGUAAGAAACUAUUAUCUUACACAGUCAUUUUAUUUGGAUUUAUUCAUAUAUUGACCAUUGACCAUUUUGUCGUUCUUCAUUCCUUUGUGUACCUGGUGAGUUUCUAUCUGGCUUGUUUUGUUUUGUUUUGUUUUUUGCACCUUUGGAUAUUUCUUUCAGUGUAGGUCUGCUAGUGAUGGGUCUGUCUGAAACUUUUUAUUUCAAGUUAUUCUUGUAGGUUAUUUGUAUUGGGUAUAGAAUUCUAGGUUGUGCUCUCUUCCUUUUAUAAAAGCGCUUUAGAAGACUCUUUGUGUUUGGGUUUCCCGUCCUUUUCAGUAGUAGGUUAACUGUCAGUAUCACUGUAACCUUCCUGUUUCCCAGGCUGUAUUAAUUGUUUGCUCUUUCUUUUAGCUAUUUUAUUGUGAUAUUCCUAGGUAUGAAGUUUAUCUUUGUUUCUUAAAGUUUAGUCUACUUAGGAUUCUUAGAGCUUCUUGAACCUGUGGCUUACUGUCUUGUUACUUUUAGACAGUUCUCAGCCAUUCUUGUGUAUUGCUUCUGUUCCAGGCUCGUUUUCCUUUCUUUCUGGAAUUUCAGUUUCAUAUGUGUUCUGCAUCUCUGUCUCCUAGCCUCUAAGUCUGUGUUUUCCAAAUUUUUAUUUCCUGGGCUUCAUUUGAGAUCUUUUAUUUUAACUUGUCUUUCUCCUUUUAUCUGUCUAUCUUCUUUUAAAUCCGUCCAUUGAGUUCUUAGUUUCAGUUGUAUAUCCUUUUUUUAGUUUUAGAGCCUCCAUUUGGUUCUUUUUUUAUAGUUUCUAGUUCUCUGCUAAAAUUGUAAAUCUUGUCUUUAAAGUCCUGGAAUAUCGGAAGUGUAUGGUUGACUCGUCAACAACAUGGGUGUGAACUGUGCGGCCCACUUCUAUGCGGAUUUUUUACAGUACAGUAAAUAUAUUUUCCUUUCCUUGUGACUUUCUCAAUAACAUCUUUUCUCAAGUUUCAGUUGUGAGAAUACAGUAUAUAAUACACGUAACCUGGAAAAUAUGUGUUAAUUAUGUUAUCAAUAAGGCUCUAGUCAACAGUAGGCUAUUAGGUUUUGGCGAGUCAAAAGUUAUACGUAGAUUUUUAAAAAUGUUUAUUUUGAGAGAGCGCAAGAGUGUGUGAGUGGGGGAGGGGCAGAGAGAGAGGGAGAGAGAAUCUCAAGCAGGCUCUGUGGUGUCCACCCAAAGCCCAGCACAGGGUUCGAUCCCACCAACUGCGAGAUCAUGACCUGAGCCGAAAUCAAGAGUUGGCCGCUCAACCGAGCCACCCAGGCGCCCCAUCUAUAUGUGGAUUUUUCACUCCUCAGGGUCUGUAUGCUCCCCACUCCUGCACUGUUCAAGAGUCAACUGUAGUUAUUUUUAAAUCUGGUGAAUAAUAUCUGGAAUGCUUGUGGUAUGUUUUUGUCUUCUAUUUCUUCUGUCUUGUGUUCAUGUUGUAUUAUUUACUCACGUGCCUGAUCUCUUUUGAUUGUGUAUUUUAUAUCAAACUUGCACCUUGGAAAAUUGGUUAUAAAAAAAUCUGAGGCCUAAGGAAAGUAUCUUCUAGGGAGGUUUUAUUUAUACUCACACUGUGGAAUCAGCUUACUCCCAGUAGAAAUUGUUCAGGGCCGACCUGCAGUCCCUUUGAGGGUCUGUCUACUUCAGUUUUAUUCUUUUCUUGUUUUUGUUUUUUUAAGUUUAUUUAUUUUUGAGAGAGACAGAGACAGAGAGCACAAGUCGGGGAGGGGCAAAGAGUGAGGGAGACACAGAAUCUGAAACCGGCUCCAGGCUCUGAGCUGUCAGCACAGAGCCCGACGCGGGGCUCGAACCCACCAACUGUGAGACCAUGACCUGAGCCGAAGUCAGAUGCCCAACCGACUGAGCCACUCAGGCACCGCUACUUCAGUUUUAUUCUUCCAGAGUACAGCCUCUCGGAGUCCCAGUUCAAUGAAAUGGCCGUUCGCAGGCUGCUGCUCUCUCUCCCUCUCCCCAGUGGCUGUACUUGAAGUCAGAGCCAUUACCCUAACACCAAGAGCCUGUCAGAUGCAUUAUUCAGCAUCUCAGCCUCUCAGUGCUGUCCUCUAGCGUUGGCAAAUGCCUCUGGGGGGAAAAGUGACCCCAGUAGCUGUAGUUCCCUUCCUAAGUCUCAGUCUCUGCUGUGUUCCAGCUCUGUCUUGUUAGUUCACCGAUUCCUUCAAGCAGACGUUUUUGACAUUUUGUUGAGCUUCUCUGAUUGUCCUUGGUGGGUCUGAGUUACCUAGUUUAUUACUAGAACGGAAGUAGCUGCUUCUUUUGUCACUCGCUAAGCACGGUGUCUGCAGUCUUUUGUGAUUUUUUUUGCCCUUGAGGGUAAUCCAUCCCAGAGCAACGGUGAAUGGCAGGACAGCUAUUCAACAAUGGUGACAUGGCUUCUUAGUUCCUUGACCUCUCUCCCAUGUAUCCUGUUCUCUACCCUACCUUGGCCACCCAUUGCCUUGGAUCACCAUUAUGUGAAAAAACUCUUGUCACUUCAAUUUCAAACUUAGUACUCUGACUACCGCUUCCAGACUUUAUAGCUCCCACCUUCGACCAUCCCAUUUCCCGCAGUCUUCAACCCCAUCGUAAAUUUCAGUUCAUUGUUCCUGCCGCAUUUCCCCUGGUCACUCCCUUGUCUUUGUUGACCAUAAAUUCCAUAGUCAUUACAGCAUGUUCUCUACUCAUACUCUCUUGUUUUCCUCUUGUUUCAUCAAUAAUCGUGUCUAAGCCACGAUCUGUGUCUUAGCCUGGAUUCCCUGGAAAAGAUGGCAAGAGUGUAUGUGCUGAUGCUUUAUUUGAAGUUAGAGCGAGGAGGGAAAAAAGAGGAUGAGGCAGAGAAGAAGGGAGAACAAAUACAAAGUGGUAUGUUUUCUAAGCCAUCACAGCUUCGUGAGAACCUUAGCUGGUUGCUUGGUCAUCCUGGGAAUCUCUAGGGAAUCAUGGCACCUCUCAGAGCACUCCCAGGGGAUGGGGGCGGGCGGCAGGCAGGUAUGUGGAGGUGGAAGCUGAGAAGUUUGACGGCCCUUUCUCGUCUCCUGUCUCUUAAUGGUCAGAGUUGCCCCAUUAGGGUCUUAAAAAAAUUUUUUUUCACGUUUAUUUUUGAGGGAGAGAAAGUACGAGCAGGGGAGGGGCAGGGAGUGGGGGACAGAGGAUCCGAAAUGGGCUCUGGGAUGACAGCAGCGAGCCGAAUGUGGGCUCAGACCCACAAACUGCGAGAUCAUGACCUGAGCCAAAAUUGGAUGCUCAGCCGACUGAGCCACCCAGGCGCCCCUGCCCCAUAGGGACUUCGUUAUUCUCUGCUUUCAGGUUUGUUACUUGGCCUCUACAGGCAGCCCCUGGGGAAGCUGCUGAAUUAGGUGUCGGAGCUGCUGUGGCUUCUGUCACAGUGCACACGGGGAAGGCUACCAGGGCUUAGCCUUUAUAAGCCCUGGGGGAGGUAGAGACAGUUGGUGAUGUUAGGAAAGAAGACGUGGGUAGUGGGCUGAGGCUUAGGAUCAUCUGAAGCUUGCAGGUUUCUGCCAGGCCUGGUGGGGCUGUUCCAGCUGGGAAGUGGGACAGCAGGCAAGUCCGAGUGUGUGUGGGGGAGGGUGCCUGAAGCGCCCCUCGUAAGGCCUGUUUAAUGCAGCUUCUGAUUCUUCUUCUGCUUGAAUCCGUGCGAAUUCAGCUGAAUGUGGUUAGAGAGACCAUUCUGACUAAUCUCAUUUUAAAGCCAUGACCACCAAAAUCUCGUAGGCCCAUUGCAGGUUCUGUUGUUUUCCUACUCCAGUUACUCUUCUGUAGAGUAUUCAAAUGUCUCAUUUAAAAUGUUCCAUUUUUCCUUCCCCCUUUUUCCUUUAUUUAACUGGGAAAAAAUUGAAGCAGUUGCAAGUGAACUUCUGCAGGCUGUCAUUCUCAACAGCAUAUAAGCAGCCUGUUAGAUCUCACUUGUGUAAAAAGGUUUUUCUUGAUAAUUGUCUAUACUCUGUUUUCCAUUCUUUUCUUCUGUUCUCUUCUCGAACACGUUUCUUUCAGGUUUUUGUCCCCACUGCUCUUCCAGAAUUGCUCAUAAUGUCACUGGUGACCUCCAUGUUGCAAGAUCCAAUUGUCAGUCUUCCCCGUUUACCCCAAGAGUCCCAGGUACCUCACUCCUGUUUGAAACCUGAUUAGUUUAGGGCUCUCCAGAGAAACAGAACUAGUAGGAUAUAUAUAUUAAAAGACAUUUGUUAUAAGGAGUUGGCUCACGUGACUGUGGAGGCCGAGAAGUUCUUAGAUCUGCCAGUCAGCAAGCUAGGAGAGAUGGUCUAAGUUGUAGUCUGAGUACAAAGGCCUGAGAGAGAACCAGGAGAUCCCAUCCCGUGUCCCAGCUCAAGCCGUCAGGCUGGAGAAGUUCCCUCUUAGCCUUUUUAUUAAAUUCAGGCCUUUAACUGUUUGGAUGAGCACCACCCACAUUACGGAGGGCAGUCUGCUUUACUCAGUUUACCGAUUCAGAUGUUAAUCUCAUCCAGAAAUACUCUCACAGACACAUCCAGAAUAAUGUUUGACCGACAUCUGGGACCGUGUGGCCUGGUUGAGUUGACACGUAAAGUUAACCAUCAAAAAACCCUCUCUCCCCCAAGACAUCUAGAACAAGAUGCCAGUUUAAUCUGUAGGAGUUCCAGUCCCCAUCGCCCCUGACCUCAGCUCCCAACUACUCCUUUCUGUUCUCCACUCUAGUCACGCUGCCUCCCUUCUCUUUCUUGACCGUUGCCCGGUGUGUUCCUGCCCGUAGGAUCUCUGCACUCACUUUUCUUCUGCCUCCAGUGCUUUUUCCUUGCUUCUCUGCCCCUCCCCUUACCCUUCAUCCAUAUGGCUUAUGUUCUUCUUUCUUUCCGUCCGCACUGAACUGUCACACUCUCACUGAGGCUUUUCCUGGCCAGUCCAUCUAAACAUUUCGGCUGUUUCCCUGGUGCUUCCUGUCCUCCUUCCUUGCUUUAUGGUUUUCUCAUUCCCUCUUGCAUUGUCUAACGUACUUCCCUACUUAUCUUCUUACUUGUCUGACUCCUCCAACCAGAAGGUCAGCUCUGUGAGGUGGGGGCCCAGCUUCUAGAAGAGCGCCUGGUACAGGUGUGUCUCUCGGUAACAACUUCCUGUUUUUUUAAAAAACACGGACAGAACCUCUUUCCAGUAAGUUUACAAAAUAGAGGUUUUCAGCCUGAGCUCUCAGCAGCGAGCACCUUUAUUGGCUCACAGACGCCUUUGCAUAGGUCUUUUAUAGAUACGCCUUUUAUAGCCUAACUGUGGAUGAGCUGACGUCAUUCUGAAGGCACCGUGCCAGGCUUCUCGACUCUCUUCCUUCUAGUUGUGUGUGUGUGUGUGUGUGUGUGUGUGUGUGUGUGUGUGUGUGAGAACCAGCUCUGUGCCGGAGAGCUUUACAAAUAACCUCUUACUUAAUUCUCAGAACAGCCCUACUGCACAGUGGUAUCAUCCCCAUUGUGCAGACACUGAGGCAGAUUUAGAAAGCUUGAACAACUUGCCUGAGGUCUCAGCUCGGAUGUGGGAGAAUCCAACUUGAUCUAGUCCUGUGUUCUUGAGUGUCACUGCAUUAGAUGCCUCCUCCUCCUUAGAUAUUUUGUGUCACGCAGGAACUUAGGAAUGUUGGGCAGACUAUUUAACCCCUUUCGCCACGAUAGUGUUAAAUAUUCAAAGUGUCUGCUUAGCGAAUCUCAGCACAAAGCACCCAUUCAAAGUUAGGAAUCCUUGGGGCACCUGGUUGGUUCAGUUGGUUGAGCUCCUGACUUCGGCUCAGGUCAUGAUCUCGUGGUUCAUGGGUUUGAGCCCCGCGUCGGGCUCUGUGCUGACAGCUGGGAGCCUGGAACCUGCUUGGGAUUCUGUGUCUCCCUCUCUCUCUGCCCCUCCCCCACUCAUGCUCUGUCCGUGUCUCCCGAAAAUAAAUAAACGUUGGGGCGCCUGGGUGGCUCAGUCGGUUGAGCGUCCGACUUCGGCUCAGGUCAUGAUCUCGUGGUCUGUGAGUUCGAGCCCUGCAUCGGGCUCUGUGCUGACAGCUCAGAGCCUGGAGCCUGCUUCUGAUUCUGUGUCUCCCUCUCUUUCUGCCCCUCCCCUGCUCAUGCUCUGUCUCUCUCUCUCUCUCUCUCUCUCUCUCUC